UUAACGACUCUCGGCAACGGAUAUCUCGGCUCUCGCAUCGAUGAAGAACGUACGAAAUGCGAUACUUGGUGUGAAUUGCAGAAUCCCAUGAACCAUCGAGUCUUUGAACGCAAGUUGCGCCCUAGACCAUUAGGUUGAGGGCACGCCUGCCUGGGCGUCACGC
rnacentral:rRNA from 1 species